UUGUGUUGUGCCCCAGCGGUCUAGCAGACCAAAGGAUAGAUUGGAAACCAACAUGGUUAUAAACAGUCCCAUACCAAAGUACCCAUUUGCCUGGGUUCAAGAAUACAUCAUAGUUUGAGUGUAACAUGAACCAGGUUGUGUGUUCUGUUAUGAAGGGGCAUUCCUAUGCAGACUCCUUUAGAUUCCUCAUUGGCUUGGACACAACCUUUGUGCCAUGGUUGGAUAUAGAGUGAGCAGAAAGACAUGGAUAAGGUCUUAAGUUGCACAUAGGAAGGACUGACUAAAUUCAAGGAGACUCAGAAAGUUUCACUCUUUGGUUGAGACUUCAUGCUUCUUCGUGGAAUAUAGAGACUUGUUUUGUGUAGAAGAUAUGGACAACAAAGUAUUCAAUAUUCAAUUAACAAUAUUGAGUAUUGGCCAAUCACAAGGAACAGUGAAAGACAAAGAAAACGAGAGAUAGAAAGACCACACGUCUGCUGAUAUAUUUUGCAAUGAAUGUGGAGACACCAAGUAACAUUGCUAAUUUAGUCAAACAAAUAAUUGUGCUAAUCCCAUUAUAUGUUGAGAAAAGUAAUUUUUCAGUAUAAUAGAUGAAACAAACAUCUGGUCUGGUAAUCAUCAUGUGACUACUCUGGACCCAUUUAGUAUUUCUUAACCCUUCAAGUGCUCAGCUAUUUUACAGAGAGUGCAUUGAAAAAUGGGAUUAACAUUCUUGUGUUUACAAACAUUGGAUACCCACUUGCUCAUUUUUUCUUUUAGCAGCUAAACUAUGCAUUGUAGCCUAUUAAAACCUAGACAUUUUUGAAAAGCUAAUUCAAUAAGGAAUUAAAUUCAGUCCAGACAAUCAACAUAUAUUAUUAAAAAAAAAUAUUUAAAAAAU
rnacentral:sRNA from 1 species